rnacentral:lncRNA from 1 species
GGUGACGUCAGAUAGAAAAUGAAAAGCAAAAAUCCGUUUUCAUAAUUUUUCCUUUGCUGGAACCCAGAUGUAAGGCCCAGAUUGUUCCUCUAUGAUCUGUUUCACUUGGUUGUAGAUUUCUUCCAGUGUGUCUCCUUGGAUAAUAGCUGUGAAGUGUUCAGUAAACUCUUGCUCCAGUUUCAUUGCUCUCUCAAAUGUCUUCCUGGCUUGUUCUUCCGUUAAGCGUUUAUUCAUUUCCAUGAUAUUUUCCACUGUUUUGGGUUUAAUAAAAAUGGAGAUUGGGUACAGCUGGGCAAUCUGCAACCUUUUGAUCGCAUUACCAGAAACAUCAAGAAUACAAUGUUUACCCUUUUCUGCUACUUCUCGCACUGAUUGCACACUUGUUCCAUAAAGAUGAUUAUUGUACUGGCCAGCUUCAAUGAAUUUGUGCUCCUGAAUAUCCUUCUCCAUUUGCUCUCGAGAAGUGACAAAAUGGUAAUCACGUCCAUCCACCUCAUAAUCUCGUUUUGGUCUAGUAGUAUGUGGAACACAUGAGCCAAAUUUGUCUGGAAAUUCUGAAAUCAGAUCGUCGUUAAUUCUGUCUUUCAUGGGUCCCAAAACAAUCACAGGUCGAGUAUAGUUCACUUCUUGUUGAUUGACUUGUUCGUAAGACAAGACAUAUUCCUCUUGGCCACGGUAACUACUUUCACUAUCGCUGGCAUUAGAGGUUACAUGCUUCAGGCCUUUUGAUCCCAUGUCGUCAGGGACCUCCCCUUUCUCUCCUCUUGUCUUGGAAUUGAAUUUCACUGUCUUUAAACGGGCUCGUUCUUUUUUCUCAACUCUGCGUUUGCUUGGGAUAACUCCGAUUUCAUCACUUUCUCCAUCUGGAGUUACCUGCCGUGCUUGCCACCAUUCAUCAUCAGAAGCAUUAAUGACAUGGAGAAUAUCACCAAAUUUGAAGUUCAGUCCUUGACUUGGAAGGCCACUGUCUUUAGUCUUGUCAUAAUCAAAAAGGGCUCUGACAUAUAGGGAUCUCUUCUGGCUGGUUCGCAAAGAUCCUGAUCCUGAGCUAAUGCUACUGUUCAUCAUCUGCUCCCG